rnacentral:rRNA from 1 species
GACGAACCGUGCGAACGUUGUUCGGAAUCACUGGGCUUAAAGGGCGCGUAGGCGGGUGAUCAAGUCCGGGGUGAAAUCUUUCGGCUCAACCGGAAAACAGCCUUGGAUACUGGUCGUCUUGAGGGAGGUAGGGGCAUGUGGAACUUCCGGUGGAGCGGUGAAAUGUGUUGAUAUCGGAAGGAACGCCGGUGGCGAAAGCGACGUGCUGGAUCUCUUCUGACGCUGAGGCGCGAAAGCUAGGGGAG